AGUGUCUCUAUUGCUUUGGACAAUGCCAGAGGCUUAUGAGGGAGUCUUUACUACUCUAGAGAAAAUAAGUGAAGAUCAGCUGACUCUUGCAUACGUAAAAACAAUAUUUUUAGACUACGAAAUAAAAAUCGAAGCUGAAAGCAGUGAUACUAGUGCUGAGGUGUUACGGGCUGUAAGUGCGAAACCGAGAGACAAUAAAAGACAACACUUUGGGAAAGGGAAUUCGAUACCACGAAAUUUCCUCCAUGCGGUACACAGGUCAAAUCCUAAAAACCGGAAUUUUAAGGGAAAAUGUUUUUAUUGCGGUUUGCCCGGACACAUGCGCAGCACCUGCAAACACUUCUUGAGGGCACAGCUUGAAGACAAGAAAAGGAAAGAGAAAAGAGGAGGCUCAUAGACCAAAAACACCCCAGAGCAAGAGAAACAGAAACAGUAAAUACUGUUCAAGCCACUCAACACAUCCAAUCAGGUAAUCGGCUGGCCGACAUUAUGACGAACGUACGCCCAAGCAUCAAAUUUUUCGAACUGAGAAGACAAACGUGAUUGAAAUAGCAUUAAGGAUGUAAUUAGAUGAUAAAUGAUUA